rnacentral:rRNA from 1 species
UACGGAGGGUGCGAGCGUUAAUCGGAAUUACUGGGCGUAAAGCGCGCGUAGGCGGUUUGCUAAGCUAGAUGUGAAAUCCCCGGGCUUAACCUGGGAACUGCAUUUAGAACUGGCAGGCUAGAGUACAGUAGAGGAUGGUGGAAUUUCAGGUGUAGCGGUGAAAUGCGCAGAUAUCUGAAGGAACAUCAGUGGCGAAGGCGGCCAUCUGGACUGAUACUGACGCUGAGGUGCGAAAGCGUGGGGAGCAAACAGG